UACGUAGGGCGCAAGCGUUGUCCGGAAUUAUUGGGCGUAAAGAGCUCGUAGGCGGUCUGUCGCGUCCGUUGUGAAAACUCGAGGCUCAACCUCGGGCUUGCAGUGGAUACGGGCAGACUAGAGUGCGGUAGGGGAGACUGGAAUUCCUGGUGUAGCGGUGGAAUGCGCAGAGAUCGGGAGGAACACCCGUAGCGAAGGCGGCGCUCUGGGCCGGCACUGACGCUGAGGAGCGAAAGCUAGGGGAGCAAACAGG
rnacentral:rRNA from 1 species